rnacentral:rRNA from 1 species
CCUACGGGAGGCAGCAGUGGGGAAUAUUGCACAAUGGGCGCAAGCCUGAUGCAGCCAUGCCGCGUGUGUGAAGAAGGCCUUCGGGUUGUAAAGCACUUUCAGCGGGGAGGAAGGCGGUAAGGUUAAUAACCUUAUCGAUUGACGUUACCCGCAGAAGAAGCACCGGCUAACUCCGUGCCAGCAGCCGCGGUAAUA